rnacentral:rRNA from 1 species
UACAGAGGUCUCAAGCGUUGUUCGGAUUUAUUGGGCGUAAAGGGUGCGUAGGCGGCGCGGUAAGUCGGGUGUGAAAUUUCGAGGCUUAACUUCGAAACUGCAUUCGAUACUGCCGUGCUUGAGGACUGGAGAGGAGACUGGAAUUUACGGUGUAGCGGUGAAAUGCGUAGAUAUCGUAAGGAAGACCAGUGGCGAAGGCGGGUCUCUGGACAGUUCCUGACGCUGAGGCACGAAGGCCAGGGGAGCAAACGGG